UCUGACCGUGCAAAGGUAGCGUAAUCACUUGUUCUUUAAAUGAGGACUAGUAUGAACGGCAUCACGAGGGUUAUACUGUCUCCCUACUCCACUCAGUGAAACUGAUCUCCCCGUGAAGAAGCGGGGAUGUAAAUAUAAGACGAGAAGACCCCAUGGAGCUUUAAACUCAGUUCCACCUGCCAAUUUUAAAACUUAUUAACCACGCAGCACUGGUAACUAGUUUUCGGUUGGGGUGACCACGGAGUAAAACAAAACCUCCAUGAUGAAAGGAACUAACAUCCUUAUCCAAAAAUUACAUUUUUAAGAAUCAACAAAUUGACCACAUUGACCCAAUUAUUUGAUCAACGAACCAAGUUACCCUGGGGAUAACAGCGCAAUCCAUUUCAAGAGCCCUUAUCGACAAAUGGGUUUACGACCUCGAUGUUGGAUCAGGGUAUCCCAGUGGCGCAGCCGUUACUAAAGGUUCGUUUGUUCAACGAUUAAAACCUUACGUGAUCUGAGUUAGGACCCGGAGAA
rnacentral:rRNA from 1 species